rnacentral:misc_RNA from 1 species
UUGAGGGUUGUUAUGGACACAUCGUAAGUUCCUCCCAUCCCUCAUUUUGAUCGUGAAACCAUCUGCUCCACUCUUAACCUCAACAGCUUCAACUAUGCUGGAGUUGACAUAAUCUUCAUCGUUUUCAUUGAAAUUCUCGGCUGUGCUCCCAUUUCCAUUCGAGGAUGAACUCAAACAACACUGCACUGUAUAGCGCCCUUGUGCAAUUAGUUGAGGAGAAAAUAAACCCACUUUAGU